AGGUUAAGCUAGAAAGGGCGCACGGUGGAUGCCUUGGCACUAGGAGCCGAUGAAGGACGGGGCAAACGCCGAAACGCUCCGGGGAGCUGUAAGCAAGCGUGGAUCCGGAGAUGUCCGAAUGGGGGAACCCACUGCUCGUAAUGGGGCAGUAUCCAUGCCUGAAUCCAUAGGGCAUGGAGGGCACACCCGGGGAACUGAAACAUCUUAGUACCCGGAGGAGAAGAAAGCAAACGCGAUUCCCCAAGUAGCGGCGAGCGAAACGGGAACAGCCCAAACCAAGAGGCGUGUCCUCUUGGGGUUGUAGGACCGCUCAUGGUGGGAGUGAGAAAGGGACGGGGUAGACGAACCGGUCUGGAACGGCCGGCCAGAGAAGGUGAGAGCCCUGUAGUCGAAACUUCGUUCCCUCCCGAGCGGAUCCUGAGUACGGCGGGACACGAGGAAUCCCGUCGGAAGCAGGGAGGACCAUCUCCCAAGGCUAAAUACUCCCUAGUGACCGAUAGUGAACCAGUACCGUGAGGGAAAGGUGAAAAGCACCCCGGGAGGGGAGUGAAAGAGAACCUGAAACCGUGUGCCUACAAGUAGUCAGAGCCCGUUGAUGGGUGAUGGCGUGCCUUUUGUAGAAUGAACCGGCGAGUGACGAUGGCGUGCGAGGUUAAGCCGAAGAGGCGGAGCCGCAGCGAAAGCGAGUCUGAACAGGGCGAAAAGUACGUCGUCGUCGACCCGAAACCAGGUGAUCUACCCAUGUCCAGGGUGAAGGCCGGGUAACAUCGGCUGGAGGCCCGAACCCACGCACGUUGAAAAGUGCGGGGAUGAGGUGUGGGUAGGGGUGAAAUGCCAAUCGAACUUGGAGAUAGCUGGUUCUCCCCGAAAUAGCUUUAGGGCUAGCCUCGGGCUUGAGAGUGUUGGAGGUAGAGCACUGAUUGGGCUAGGGGCCCAAACCGGGUUACCGAACCCAGUCAAACUCCGAAUGCCAACGACUUAUGCCCGGGAGUCAGACUACGAGUGAUAAGAUCCGUGGUCGAGAGGGGAACAGCCCAGACCGCCAGCUAAGGCCCCCAAGUGCACGUUCAGUGGAAAAGGAUGUGGAGUUGCCAAGACAACCAGGAUGUUGGCUUAGAAGCAGCCACCAUUUAAAGAGUGCGUAAUAGCUCACUGGUCGAGUGACUCUGCGCCGAAAAUGUACCGGGGCUAAACGUGCCGCCGAAGCUGCGGGAUGACCGUUGGUCAUCGGUAGGGGAGCGUUCUAAGGGCAGAGAAGCCAGACCGGAAGGACUGGUGGAGCGCUUAGAAGUGAGAAUGCCGGUAUGAGUAGCGAAAACAGAGGUGAGAAUCCUCUGCGCCGAAAGCCUAAGGGUUCCUGAGGAAGGUUCGUCCGCUCAGGGUUAGUCGGGACCUAAGCCGAGGCCGAAAGGCGUAGGUGAUGGACAACAGGUUGAGAUUCCUGUACCACCUUCUUCCCGUUUGAGCGAUGGGGGGACGCAGGAGGAUAGGGCGAGCAGGCGGCUGGAAGAGCCUGUCCAAGCCGUGAGGCUGAUCCGCAGGCAAAUCCGCGGAUUGGAAGGCCGAGCGGUGACGGCGACGGAGUCAUCCGGAAGUCCCCGAUUUCACACUGCCAAGAAAAGCCUCUAGCGAGGGAAGAGGUGCCCGUACCGCAAACCGACACAGGUAGGCGAGGAGAGAAUCCUAAGGCGCGCGGGAGAACUCUCGUUAAGGAACUCGGCAAAAUGACCCCGUAACUUCGGGAGAAGGGGUGCUCUUUGGGGUGAAGAGCCCUGAAGAGCCGCAGUGAAAAGGCCCAAGCGACUGUUUAUCAAAAACACAGGUCUCUGCGAAGCCGAAAGGCGACGUAUAGGGGCUGACACCUGCCCGGUGCUGGAAGGUUAAGGGGAGCGCUUAGCGGAAGCGAAGGUGCGAACCGAAGCCCCAGUAAACGGCGGCCGUAACUAUAACGGUCCUAAGGUAGCGAAAUUCCUUGUCGGGUAAGUUCCGACCCGCACGAAAGGUGUAACGACUUGGGCGCUGUCUCAACGAGAGACCCGGUGAAAUUAUACUACCUGUGAAGAUGCAGGUUACCCGCGACAGGACGGAAAGACCCCGUGGAGCUUUACUGCAGCCUGAUAUGGAAUUUUGGUAUCGCUUGUACAGGAUAGGUGGGAGCCUGGGAAGCCGGAGCGCCAGCUUCGGUGGAGGCGGCGGUGGGAUACCACCCUGGCGGUAUUGAAAUUCUAACCCGCACCCCUUAGCGGGGUGGGAGACAGUGUCAGGCGGGCAGUUUGACUGGGGCGGUCGCCUCCCAAAAGGUAACGGAGGCGCCCAAAGGUUCCCUCAGAAUGGUUGGAAAUCAUUCGGAGAGUGCAAAGGCACAAGGGAGCUUGACUGCGAGACGGACAGGUCGAGCAGGGACGAAAGUCGGGCUUAGUGAUCCGGUGGUUCCGCAUGGAAGGGCCAUCGCUCAACGGAUAAAAGCUACCCCGGGGAUAACAGGCUGAUCUCCCCCAAGAGUCCACAUCGACGGGGAGGUUUGGCACCUCGAUGUCGGCUCAUCGCAUCCUGGGGCUGUAGUCGGUCCCAAGGGUUGGGCUGUUCGCCCAUUAAAGCGGUACGCGAGCUGGGUUCAGAACGUCGUGAGACAGUUCGGUCCCUAUCCGUCGCGGGCGGAGGAAAUUUGAGAGGAGCUGUCCUUAGUACGAGAGGACCGGGAUGGACGCACCGCUGGUGUACCAGUUGUCCCGCCAGGGGCACCGCUGGGUAGCUAUGUGCGGACGGGAUAAGCGCUGAAAGCAUCUAAGCGUGAAGCCCCCCUCAAGAUGAGAUUUCCCACCGCGUUAGGCGGGUAAGAUCCCUCGAAGAUGACGAGGUCGAUAGGUCCGAGGUGGAAGCGUGGCGACACGUGGAGCUGACGGAUACUAAUCGAUCGAGGGCUUAACCUAG
rnacentral:rRNA from 1 species